AUAAUGAUGGUGGUGGUGAUGAGGAGGAUGGUGAUGAUGGUGGUAGUGAUACAAUAAUCGUCAUCCAUGGAGACUACAGCCCAAUGCACCCAGCACCAUACAUGUACUAACACAUUUCAGCCUCACAUUGGUGCUGUUGUUACCCCUGUGUUACAGCUGGGUAAACCAAGAUGCAGAGAGUAAGUGACCUGCCCAGGGUCAAGAAUUCUUGGGUGGUGGGACAAGAGGAGAACACUGGAAUCCCCAGGAUGGGUGACAUAACUAGAAGAGGUGUGUGUGGAAUGCAAUACUUCCCAGAGUUUGGUGGCUGUGAAUCUACCCCUUUGUUUCUUCCCAGAGCAUCUGCUAGGACUCAGGCUCUAUGGAACUUUUGAGAACUCUGGUUUAAACAGUUGCCCUGACUAGCUAGCUCCAGUAUUUCUUGAGCCCCCUUCAAUGUACACUUGGAAGCAAGUGCAGGUUGAUAAGGUUUCUCAAUAGCUACUCUUAUUCUUGUUCCUGGACUGCAGCUGUACUGCAGCUGGUCUGAAUCCAAAAGUGGGAACUCCUGGAAGAAUCCAGACAUGCUAGCUGGGCUGAGCCCUUCUUCCUUGGCCACCUUGAAGCAGGUAGCUGAGAAAAGCAGAUAGCCUUCACUGUCUGCUUCCUCACCACCACCCCUGGCUGAAUACUUGUUCUGGAACUUCCCAACCACAUGCAAAAAGGAACUUUCCAGGGGUUAGACUCAGCCCAGAGGAAUAAAGAUGCUAAUCACUUUGGGCAGCUAUCCCUCUCUCUCCACCUGGAUCUCAGCCACACCCACCCACAAUUUCUGGCUUGAUUUAACAUCUUGGCUGGCAUCCUCAACAGGUGCACAAAGUGGGGACUUCAUUCCCAGGAGCCUUUGCCAAAAGCUCCCAUUCCCUUAGAGGGAGGGGGAGAAUAUGGCCUCAGUAGAAUAUCAAUAAGAAGCUAUGGUGAGAAGACAUAGUUGGCCAGAGCUGGUGAUGGGGUAAUUAAUUCUACUUAAGAAAAAUGUUACUAAUAAUUAAAUGUACUAAUUAAGAAAAAUUGGAUCAGCUGUUGUUGGUGUAACACAGAAGCUGCAGCUUUGCUGACACAUUUCUUGGGUAGCUUCCGGCUGGGACUAAAUGCAGCAGACACUGUUGGAGCCCAAGAGAAGCCAGAGGAGAUGUGAUCUGGAGAGGUCUUCAUGGAAGGAAGCAGCACACUUGGGAGGGUCUGGGCUGCCAUCAAGGUGUUGGCCAGAGCUGGGGUCUCAUCUGAAGGCUUGAGUGGGGAAAGAUCCAAGUCCAAGAUCACAUGGCUGCCGGCAGGAUUCAGUUCCUUGAGGGUUGUUGAACUGAGGUCUCAGCUGCGAGCUGGCUAUUGGCUGGAGGUCAGUUCCUUGCUAGGUGAGCCUCUCCAACAAGCCAGUUUCCUUCAUCAAAGCACGGAAGCCAGAAGGCAAUGGAAUGUGCUAACAACACAAAUGGCAAUCUUAUAAAGCCUGAUCACAGAAGCGA